GCUUUCUUGGGCUUUCCCUCCGGGUCCUGGGGGAGAGGCAGAGGUCAGGGCCUGCCUGUACCCAAACCCUGACCGGGGAAGUGUACUACACAUGGACUCACCAGGAUCUGGACGGGUCCACCACAUCCUUCACCGGCACCCGGAACGGGCUCCCUGCAAGGAGAAGGACAUCAGCCCCUACCCACCUGCCUAGAAAGGUCUCUGACGCCAAGGAGGCAGGGGAGAGGUCUUCCCUGCCUUCCCUGCCUCUGAAAUACCCUCAGAGAGGCCAGACCAACAUGUACAAAUGCUUAGGAACUUGCUCAUAAACGGGGACAAAUAAACUUGGCUGCAGACUAAGGUGGGGCAAACCUUAUUAUGUGCUGGGCCACAGGCCUGGAAGAAGACCUUCUUAAAUUAAUAAAAUGCUAAAAAUGGAUUA